CGGGACACGUGGUAUCCUGUCUGAAUAUGGGGGGACCAUCCUCCAAGGCUAAAUACUCCUGACUGACCGAUAGUGAACCAGUACCGUGAGGGAAAGGCGAAAAGAACCCCGGCGAGGGGAGUGAAAAAGAACCUGAAACCGUGUACGUACAAGCAGUGGGAGCCUCUUAAUGGGGUGACUGCGUACCUUUUGUAUAAUGGGUCAGCGACUUAUAUUCUGUAGCAAGGUUAACCGAAUAGGGGAGCCGAAGGGAAACCGAGUCUUAACUGGGCGUUAAGUUGCAGGGUAUAGACCCGAAACCCGGUGAUCUAGCCAUGGGCAGGUUGAAGGUUGGGUAACACUAACUGGAGGACCGAACCGACUAAUGUUGAAAAAUUAGCGGAUGACUUGUGGCUGGGGGUGAAAGGCCAAUCAAACCGGGAGAUAGCUGGUUCUCCCCGAAAGCUAUUUAGGUAGCGCCUCGUGAAUUCAUCUCCGGGGGUAGAGCACUGUUUCGGCAAGGGGGUCAUCCCGACUUACCAACCCGAUGCAAACUGCGAAUACCGGAGAAUGUUAUCACGGGAGACACACGGCGGGUGCUAACGUCCGUCGUGAAGAGGGAAACAACCCAGACCGCCAGCUAAGGUCCCAAAGUCAUGGUUAAGUGGGAAACGAUGUGGGAAGGCCCAGACAGCCAGGAUGUUGGCUUAGAAGCAGCCAUCAUUUAAAGAAAGCGUAAUAGCUCACUGGUCGAGUCGGCCUGCGCGGAAGAUGUAACGGGGCUAAACCAUGCACCGAAGCUGCGGCAGCGACACUGUGUGUUGUUGGGUAGGGGAGCGUUCUGUAAGCCUGUGAAGGUGUACUGUGAGGUAUGCUGGAGGUAUCAGAAGUGCGAAUGCUGACAUAAGUAACGAUAAAGCGGGUGAAAAGCCCGCUCGCCGGAAGACCAAGGGUUCCUGUCCAACGUUAAUCGGGGCAGGGUGAGUCGACCCCUAAGGCGAGGCCGAAAGGCGUAGUCGAUGGGAAACAGGUUAAUAUUCCUGUACUUGGUGUUACUGCGAAGGGGGGACGGAGAAGGCUAUGUUGGCCGGGCGACGGUUGUCCCGGUUUAAGCGUGUAGGCUGGUUUUCCAGGCAAAUCCGGAAAAUCAAGGCUGAGGCGUGAUGACGAGGCACUACGGUGCUGAAGCAACAAAUGCCCUGCUUCCAGGAAAAGCCUCUAAGCAUCAGGUAACAUUAAAUCGUACCCCAAACCGACACAGGUGGUCAGGUAGAGAAUACCAAGGCGCUUGAGAGAACUCGGGUGAAGGAACUAGGCAAAAUGGUGCCGUAACUUCGGGAGAAGGCACGCUGAUAUGUAGGUGAAG
rnacentral:rRNA from 1 species